rnacentral:rRNA from 1 species
AGCUCCGCAAGUGUAUAUCUAUGUUGCUGCAGUUAAAAAGCUCGUAGUUGGAUCUGCGUGUUUAGCGUCCGGUUCGGCCUUUUGGUUGUUACUGGAAUGCGACACAGAUGUGCUGGUUUGGUGUUGAUGCUCUUAACCGGGUGUCAGCGCCGGCUAGCGAGUUUACUUUGAAAAAAUUAGAGUGUUUAAAACAGGCGUUUCGCCUGAAUAUUUCUGCAUGGAAUAAUAGACUUCGAUUCUAUUCUGUUGGUUUUCGGAAUGCGAAGUAAUGAUUAAGAGGGACAGACGGGGGCAUUCGUACUGCGACGUUAGAGGUGAAAUUCUUGGAUCGUCGCAAGACGUACUACUGCGAAGGCAUUUGCCAAGAAUGUUUUCA